UUUGUAUUUAUCAGUUAUGGGACUCGUAAAUUAGUGCUCUCCGGGAUGUAGCUAGAAAUGACUACUUUCCCUUCAAGUAAUUUAGAUGUGUCGGCAGGGGGCCUUAUGUUUUUAAUUAAUUAAUAAUGAAUAACAGGGUAGAAGAGGAGAAUAAAAAAUAUGUAUAAAGCAGGACACCCCCUGAAAGUCACAAAAUGUCAAAAGAUACCUUUUGGUUUUACAGCUAAGAUUUUUCAACAUGCUUGUGGAUUUCAACAUAACAUGUA
rnacentral:misc_RNA from 1 species